rnacentral:lncRNA from 1 species
CCAAAUGCUAAGACAGAUCCAGCACUCAGAGGAUUAGGGACCUCAAUGCCCGUAUUGACGCUAUUAAUACAAGUACAAGUGCGCCAGUUACCAUAGAUGUUUUGAUUAGACAGAAUGAGCCCCCGUUCACGGAAAGGGUAAUAAGAACCAAGGUCUUAUCAAGGAUCAAGUUGCCUACUAAACUUGGGGUUUACGAAGGAAAAACUAAUCCUAUGGACCACCUGAAUUUGUAUAAAAACCUCAUGUCACUCUAGUGAUACUCUGACGAGGUGAUGUGCAAAAUUUUUUCUGCUACUUUAAAGGGAUCGGCAAGGUCAUGGUUCAGAAAGCUGUUUUCAGGAACCAUAGACUCUUUUGGCAACCUAAGCAGGCUAUUCGUCGCAAAUUUCAUGAGCUGCAGGGUCAGGAAGAAGAAUGCCUCCCACCUCUUCACCAUUCACUAAAAGGAGGCUAAGAGCUUGAAAGACUACUUGAAGCGGUUCAACCAGGCUAUCUUGGAAGUGGAGGAUCCCAGUGAUAAAGUGGUGAUCAUGGCCAUGAUGGAGGACUUUGCCCAGGCCCACUAUUCUACUCCCUCUCCAAAUAUGUCCCUAAAAUCGUGUCGACUCUCUAGAGCAAGGCUGACAAAUAUAUUGCCGUGUAGGAGUUGGUAGAGGCCAAACGAAGGAGGAGAGGAAAAGAUGACAAGAGGAAGGAGCCCGACACCAGGAAAACGGAUUACAAGGACGAGGCGAGGAAUAAGAGACCAGACCAAGAUUUGAGGCGACGAACCAACGAUAGACGUCCUCGUACUCCACCUCGCUGCACUAAAUUGAUAUUGCCCCCCCUCAACGCUCCCAUCGCCCAUGUGCUCAUGGAGAUUAAGCAUGAAGAGUUCAUCAGGUGGCUUGGAAAAAUCAAGACUAUCCCUGAAAAAGGAACAAGAACAAGUAUUAUGAGUUCCACCAAGAUCACGGACACAACAUUGAAUAUUGUUUUCAAUUAAAAGAACAGAUAGCGGACUUUAUCAAGAAGCGAUAUCUGAGGAAGUAUGUUGCAAAUCGCCUACCCCCAGGCUCACCAGAAAGGAGAUAUGGUGACAACAAGCCGAUCGUAGGGGACAUAUAGGUAAUCCACGGUGGGUUUGGAUUAGGAGGAUCUUGGAGCUCGUCUCGAAAGAGGCACGCUAGGAGCGCCAGUGGACGAGCAGAAGAAUAAGUUUAUAACUUUUCCUCGUCUAUAACUGGAGCCCACCUACCUAUUACCUUCACUAAUGACGAUCUAAAAGGCCUGCAUCUCCCUCAUAACGAUGCCUUGGUCAUCUCAGCUGUCAUCACCAAUUUCAAAGUGCAUAGGAUACUAGUUGACAAUGGAAGUUCGGCAAAUAUCUUGUUCAUCUCGACAUUUGACAAGAUGAAAAUUGGGCUGAAAAAACUACAUCCAUUUCAUAUUCCUCUAGUCGGAUUCGAAGGAAAUACCACUCACCCACUUAGAUGGAUCAAGUUGCUAGAGACCUUAGGAAUGAAGCCCCACCAGACCAUUGGUUGGCAGAAUUUCAUCGUAGUGGAUUGCCCUUUGCCUUACAACGCUAUUCUAGGUCGCCCGACACUAAGAGGAACCAAGGCAAUCACUUCAACCUACCAUUUGAAGAUGAAGAUUCCCACUCCAACAGAGGUAGGCAAGGUGAGGGGUGAUCAGAAAGUUGCUAGGCAACGUUUCAUCUCAGCCAUGAAAAUUGAAUCUCUGCAAAAACCAAAUGCCUAAUUGCAAUAACAGAUCGCCGACACCGAGAUAGAGGCAUCGAGAAAAGAGAUGGAGGAAAUUGUCUUAGUGGACCCCAGAGAGUUGGAAAACACCAAGCCUUUGGAAGAAGUUACACCAAUCUCUAGUCAUCCGGACCAUCCAGAUCGCCAUGUUAUGAUUGGGACAGAGCUAACUGAAGAGUUACAGAAUGCUAUAGUGAAAAUUUUGAAAAAGAACUAUGAUGUCUUUGCAUGAUCGCAAGGCAACAUCCCAAGAAUAGAUCCUUAGGUCGCCACAUAUAAACUGUUUACCAAUCUUGACUAUCCCCCAAUUCUCCAGAAAAGGAGAAAGUUCGCCCCUGUGCGACUGAAAGUCAUAGUAGAAGAAGUGGCUAAACUCAUCAAGGCCAAUGUCAUCAUAGAAUCCCAUUACUUCGACUGGCUUGCCAACAUUGUCGUCGCCCAAAAGAAGGGAAAAAUGGAGAGUAUGUGUUGACUUCACCAACUUCAACAAGGCGUGCCCAGAAGAUAGUUUUCCUUUACCAAAGAUUUACCUAAUCGUACAUGCCACCUCCAAACAUGAACUUCUUAGCUUUAUGGACGCAUUCUCCAGGUAUCACCAAAUCAAGAUGCAUUUGCCCGACGUGGAGAAGACUUCUUUUAUUACUGAGAAGGGGCUAUACUGCUACAAAGUUAUAUUGUUUGGUUUGAAAAAUGCGAGGGCGACAUACUAAAGAUUGGUGAACAAAAUAUUCGGAGAGUUGAUUGGGAAGACUAUG